UACGUAGGGUCCAAGCGUUAUCCGGAAUCACUGGGCGUAAAGCGUUUGUAGGCGGAAAUUCAAGUGAGAUGCGAAAUCUUGUGGCUCAACCAUAUAGACGGUAUCUCAUACUGGAUUUCUAGAAGAUGGCAGAGGCAAGUGGAAUUAGUAGUGUAGCGGUGAAAUGCGUAGAUAUCAGGAGGAACACCUGUGGCGAAAGCGGCUCACUGGACCAUAACUGACGCUGAUGCACGAAAGCUAGGGGAGCAAACAGG
rnacentral:rRNA from 1 species